GUCGUCUACUAAAUCUUAGUGCCCCCGUCUACUAAGCCCCUGCCCCUGUUCUCACUCACAUUCACUGAGACACACACACACUGACAUACACACAGAAUCAUUCCAAUACACACAUGCACUCACAGACACACACAUUCACUGAUAAACAGGCUCCCUCACAGACACACACUGACAUACACACACAGACUCACUGACAGACAAACACACACACACACACACAUUUCCCCCAACACUUUUUUUUUUAUUACUUUAAUUUAUUCCUCCCAGCCUCCCUACCUUUGGGAGAGCUGGGUGGAUUUCUUACCUGGUGUCUAGUGGGGAUGUUGGGCAGGUGCACAUUCAGGCAGGCAGGAGGGCAGACAGACCGCGAGGGAGCGCUGAGUGUAAGCUCUCGCUGCUCAGCUCCCUUGCAUGCCACAGAGUGAUGCCGGGAGCCGGAGGGACGUCAUAUUUCAGCUCCCGGCAUCACUGCGGGAAGGUGAGCAGGGAGAGCUUACACUCAGCACUCCCUCGUAGCCCAU